GCUGGGUGCCGUGGCCCACGCCUGUAAUCCCAGCGGCUCGGGAGGCUGAGGCAAGAGGAUCGCGAGUUCAACACCAGCCUCGGCAAUUCAGCGAGGCACUAAGCAACUCAGCGAGACCCUGUCUCUA
rnacentral:sRNA from 1 species